CCUACGGGUGGCAGCAGUGAGGAAUAUUGGUCAAUGGACGAGAGUCUGAACCAGCCAAGUAGCGUGAAGGAUGACUGCCCUAUGGGUUGUAAACUUCUUUUAUAUGGGAAUAAAACGUUCCACGUGUGGGAUUUUGUAUGUACCAUAUGAAUAAGGAUCGGCUAACUCCGUGCCAGCAGCCGCGGUAAUACGGAGGAUCCGAGCGUUAUCAGGAUUUAUUGGGUUUAAAGGGAGCGUAGGUGGAUUGUUAAGUCAGUUGUGAAAGUUUGCGGCUCAACCGUAAAAUUGCAGUUGAAACUGGCAGUCUUGAGUACAGUAGAGGUGUGCGGAAUUCGUGGUGUAGCGGUGAAAUGCUUAGAUAUCACGAAGAACUCCGAUUGCGAAGGCAGUUCACUGGACUGCAACUGACACUGAGGCUCGAAAGUGUGGGUAUCAAACAGGAUUAGAUACCCUGGUAGUC
rnacentral:rRNA from 1 species